GAUGAACGCUGGCGGCGCGCCUAAUACAUGCAAGUCGAGCGAACAGAUGAUGAGCGUGCUCCUUUGACGUUAGCGGCGGACGGGUGAGUAACACGUGGAUAACCUACCUAUAAGACGGGGAUAACUUCGUGAAACCGGAGCUAAUAACGGAUAAUAUAUUGAACCGCAUGGUUCAAUAGUGCAAGGCGGUUUUGCUGUCACUAAUAGAUGGAUCCGCGCCGCAUUAGCUAGUUGGUAAGGUAACGGCUUACCAAGGCGACGAUGCGUAGCCGACCUGAGAGGAUGAUCAGCCACACUGGAACUGAGACACGGUCCAGACUCCUACGGGAGGCAGCAGUAGGGAAUCUUGCGCAAUGGGCGAAAGCCUGACGGAGCAACGCCGCGUGAGUGAUGAAGGUCUUCGGAUCGUAAAACUCUGUUAUUAGGGAAGAACAAAUGUGUAAUUAACUCUGCACGUCUUGACGGUACCUAAACAGAAAGCACCGGCUAACUACGUG
rnacentral:rRNA from 1 species